UACGUAGGGAGCAAGCGUUGUCCGGAAUCAUUGGGCGUAAAGCGCGCGUAGGUGGCCAUGUAAGUCCGCUGUGAAAGUCAAAGGCUCAACCUUUGAAAGCCGAUGGAUACUGCGGAGCUAGAGUACGGAAGAGGCGAGUGGAAUUCCUGGUGUAGCGGUGGAAUGCGCAGAUAUCAGGAGGAACACCAAGUAGCGAAGGCAGCUCGCUGGGACGUUACUGACACUGAGGCGCGAAAGCGUGGGGAGCGAACAGG
rnacentral:rRNA from 1 species